GACGAACGCUGGCGGCGUGCUUAACACAUGCAAGUCGAACGAAGAGCGAUGGAAGCUUGCUUCUAUCAAUCUUAGUGGCGAACGGGUGAGUAACGCGUAAUCAACCUGCCCUUCAGAGGGGGACAACAGUUGGAAACGACUGCUAAUACCGCAUACGAUCUAACCUCGGCAUCGAGGAUAGAUGAAAGGUGGCCUCUACAUGUAAGCUAUCACUGAAGGAGGGGAUUGCGUCUGAUUAGCUAGUUGGAGGGGUAACGGCCCACCAAGGCGAUGAUCAGUAGCCGGUCUGAGAGGAUGAACGGCCACAUUGGGACUGAGACACGGCCCAGACGCCUACGGGAGGCAGCAGUGGGGAAUCUUCCGCAAUGGACGAAAGUCUGACGGAGCAACGCCGCGUGAGUGAUGACGGCCUUCGGGUUGUAAAGCUCUGUUAAUCGGGACGAAAGGCCUUCUUGCGAAUAGUGAGAAGGAUUGACGGUACCGGAAGAGAAAGCCACGGCUAACUACGUG
rnacentral:rRNA from 1 species